UCGAGCGAACAGACGAGGAGCUUGCUCCUCUGACGUUAGCGGCGGACGGGUGAGUAACACGUGGAUAACCUACCUAUAAGACUGGGAUAACUUCGGGAAACCGGAGCUAAUACCGGAUAAUAUAUUGAACCGCAUGGUUCAAUAGUGAAAGACGGUUUUGCUGUCACUUAUAGAUGGAUCCGCGUCGCAUUAGCUAGUUGGUAAGGUAACGGCUUACCAAGGCAACGAUGCGUAGCCGACCUGAGAGGGUGAUCGGCCACACUGGAACUGAGACACGGUCCAGACUCCUACGGGAGGCAGCAGUAGGGAAUCUUCCGCAAUGGGCGAAAGCCUGACGGAGCAACGCCGCGUGAGUGAUGAAGGUCUUCGGAUCGUAAAACUCUGUUAUUAGGGAAGAACAAAUGUGUAAGUAACUAUGCACGUCUUGACGGUACCUAAUCAGAAAGCCACGGCUAACUACGUGCCAGCAGCCGCGGUAAUACGUAGGUGGCAAGCGUUAUCCGGAAUUAUUGGGCGUAAAGCGCGCGUAGGCGGUUUUUUAAGUCUGAUGUGAAGCCCACGGCUCAACCGUGGAGGGUCAUUGGAAACUGAAAAACUUGAGUGCAGAAGAGGAAAGUGGAAUUCCAUGUGUAGCGGUGAAAUGCGCAGAGAUAUGGAGGAACACCAGUGGCGAAGGCGACUUUCUGG
rnacentral:rRNA from 1 species